CUGAGCUUCUCUUGGAUAUUGGAUGUAUUAGAAUUGGUAGAGAGAGGAGAGAGCUAAGAUUCAACAGUUGAAAAAUAAAGUCAUGCUUCGUUGUUUUGGGAAGAGUGACUGCCUAAAAGAAACUGCCUAUCACCUGCCUGUGAUGUCUUAAGUAGACAAAAGAGUGUCAAGUAGAGAGCUGAGGUCUCCUGCGGAGGAGGUCCGCUGAUACCGUUUCCUUGGAUAUCAUUCAAAAGUAUGUAAUGCAUUUACAAGCAUGGAAGAAUAUUUCCUUUCCUUUCCCAACCCCUCUCAACAAAUUUUGUUGUUAGUGUACUCCCGUCGAUUCCGCCCCCUAGCGACCCUGUGUACAGCAGAGCGGAACCCUGCCUGGUCUUUUUGCGCCAUCCUCUCGUCUUCCAGCGCUGCACCAGAUCAGCCUCUGCUGCCGUUCACAGGCUUUUCAUGGCCAGUUUUUUUCUGAAAUGAGUGCCAGGUCCUUCUUCCUAGUCUGUCUUAGGAGGAGAGCUUUCUCUGGAAGCUCCUCUAAAACCUGUCCACCAUGGCUGACCCUGCUGAUGUUUGAAAUACCAGUAGCGUAGCACAACUCAGCUGCCACAGUAUGGCAAUGACAGACCGGUGGCGACAGGUGG
rnacentral:lncRNA from 1 species